UACGUAGGGUGCAAGCGUUGUCCGGAAUUAUUGGGCGUAAAGAGCUCGUAGGCGGUCUGUCGCGUCGGCUGUGAAAACUCGGGGCUCAACUCCGAGCUUGCAGUCGAUACGGGCAGGCUAGAGUUCGGCAGGGGAGACUGGAAUUCCUGGUGUAGCGGUGAAAUGCGCAGAUAUCAGGAGGAAUACCGGUGGCGAAGGCGGGUCUCUGGGCCGAUACUGACGCUGAGGAGCGAAAGCGUGGGGAGCGAACAGG
rnacentral:rRNA from 1 species